rnacentral:tRNA from 1 species
GUCUCUUAUUUCUUUUGGAAUAAAAAAAAGCAUUGAAGUUCUUCGGAAAAUCUCUUUUAUAAGUGCAUC